rnacentral:rRNA from 1 species
AGCGAACGCUGGCGGCAGGCCUAACACAUGCAAGUCGAACGCACCUUCGGGUGAGUGGCGGACGGGUGAGUAACACGUGGGAACGUACCUUUAGGUUCGGAAUAACGCAGGGAAACUUGCGCUAAUACCGAAUGUGCCCCUUCGGGGGAAAGAUUUAUCGCCUUUAGAGCGGCCCGCGUUAGAUUAGCUAGUUGGUGAGGUAAUGGCCCACCAAGGCUACGAUCUAUAGCUGGUCUGAGA